rnacentral:lncRNA from 1 species
UUGCAAGUUGAAUUUGAAACUUCUCAAAGAAUAAAAGUUGGAGAAGACAUCUUGAAAUUGAUCAUGAAACUUGGAUGGCCUCAUCGCAUAAAAAUUGAGCAACUUAUGAUCCUUGGAAGUUGACCUAUUAACUAGGGGACCGACAAAAUGACCUAUAAUCUUUCACCAUAAAAAAUGACUUUCCAAGCAACGUUUUCUAAGUACAAAGUAAAAUGACCACUUCUUCCACCUUGAAUAACUUUUGCUAUAAGUUGCAAAUGAAAAUGGUUUCUUCAUAAAAGUU